rnacentral:rRNA from 1 species
AUUGAACGCUGGCGGCAUGCCUAACACAUGCAAGUCGAACGGCAGCACAGUAAAGACUUCGGUCUUUAUGGGUGGCGAGUGGCGGACGGGUGAGUAACGCGUAGGAAUCAGUCCUGGAGGGUGGGAAAACCCGAGGACACUCGGGCUAAUACCGCAUGAUAUCGAGCGAUCAAAAGCAGGGGAUCCAUCGGGGCCUUGCGCUCUAGGAUGGGCCAACGUCGGAUUAGCUAAUUGGUGGGGUAAAGGCCUACCAAGGCGACGAUCCGUAGCUGGUCUGAGAGGAUGAGCAGCCACACUGGGACUGAGACACGGCCCAGACUCCUACGGGAGGCAGCAGUGGGGAAUCUUAGACAAUGGAGGAAACCCUGAUCCAGCGAUGCCGCGUGUGUGAAGAAGGCCUUCGGGUUGUAAAGCACUUUAGUUGGGGAAGAAAAGUAAUAAGUAAAUAAUUUAUUUCUCUGACGGUACCCAAAGAAUAAGCACCGGCUAACUCUGUGCCAGCCGCCGCAGUAA